CCUACGGGAGGCAGCAGUAGGGAAUCUUCCGCAAUGGACGAAAGUCUGACGGAGCAACGCCGCGUGAGUGAUGAAGGUUUUCGGAUCGUAAAACUCUGUUGUUAGGGAAGAACAAGUACCGGAGUAACUGCCGGUACCUUGACGGUACCUAACCAGAAAGCCACGGCUAACUACGUGCCAGCAGCCGCGGUAA
rnacentral:rRNA from 1 species